rnacentral:tRNA from 1 species
GGCGGGGUAGCUCAGUUGGUCAGAGCGCACGGCUCAUACCCGUGUUGUCGGCGGUUCAAGUCCGCCCCCCGCUACCA